GAUGAAGAACGCAGCGAAAUGCGAUAAGUAAUGUGAAUUGCAGAAUUCCGAGAAUCAUCGAAUCUUUGAACGCACAUUGCGCCCCCUGGCAUUCCGGGGGGCAUGCCUGUCCGAGCGUCAUUUCUGCCCUCCAGCCCGGCUGGGUGUUGGGCGCUGUCCCCCCGGGGACACGCCCCAAAGGCAGUGGCGGCGCCGCGUCGGGUCCUCGAGCGUAUGGGGCUUUGUCACCCGCUCGGGACGGACUCGUCGGCGCUGGUCUUCCUCCAGGCGACCCUUCGGGGCUCGUCUUCCUUCGGUUGACCUCGGAUCAGGUAGGGUUACCCGCUGAACUUAAGCAUAUCAAUAAGCGGAGGA
rnacentral:misc_RNA from 1 species